CCAUUUCGUUAGCAUCGGUAUCAUUAAUACUCUAUCAGAUCGACUAUCUAUGGUUUUUUUAUUUUUAAAAAAAUUUUUUAUCCGUGAGGUGCGUACAAUAAUAGGGUCCUUGUCGUCCACCACCACGGGACUUUCGAGUAAAUAUUUUGUUUUUCCUGCACCGAAACGCAAUAUCGUGGGCAGCUCUAUAACGUAUACACUGUGCAUAUUAGGGACACACACACAUAUCAACGGACCGAAACACGCAACUUGUUCCGUGGGGUUUUCCGCGGUAUUAUCGUAAUCCGGUGGGAUUGGUUGACAUGCGACCAAAAGGCACA